UAUGGUUGAAUUCUCCGCGAAAAGAAAAAUUUAAACAACACAAACGGAGGAUUCAUAUUCUCGUGAUGAACGUGAUAAAUUGCUUGUCCGAGAACGAUUCUUCUACCUAUCAACACAAGAGAGCAUGCAGAAAAAAAUCUUCUAUCGUAGUAUGUUCUUUUAUUUUUUAUUCCUUUUCGAAUGAAGUUGUUCACAUAAGUGUAUAAGAAGAGAGAAUAAAUUUAAGCUACAAAUUUUUCGGAAAAUCAUUUGUAUGGUUAGUACCUACAUUACUACUCCAGUUGCUGGCCGAUAAUUAAAUUAGGCACAUGAACGCAGCCAGAUUUAAUGAUAUUUAUAGUUCCUGUGAUGUCUCAUUUUGCCAUAAUUGAUG